UACGAAGGGUGCAAGCGUUACUCGGAAUUACUGGGCGUAAAGCGUGCGUAGGCGGUUUGUUAAGUCUGCCGUGAAAGCCCCGGGCUCAACCUGGGAAUUGCGGUGGAUACUGGCAGGCUAGAGUACGGUAGAGGAUGGUGGAAUUCCCGGUGUAGCAGUGAAAUGCGUAGAGAUCGGGAGGAACAUCUAUGGCGAAGGCAGCCAUCUGGACCAGUACUGACGCUGAGGCACGAAAGCGUGGGGAGCAAAC
rnacentral:rRNA from 1 species